GUGGGGAAUAUUGGACAAUGGGGGGAACCCUGAUCCAGCCAUGCCGCGUGUGUGAAGAAGGCCUUUUGGUUGUAAAGCACUUUAAGCGAGGAGGAGGCUACCGAGAUUAAUACUCUUGGAUAGUGGACGUUACUCGCAGAAUAAGCACCGGCUAACUCUGUGCCAGCAGCCGCGGUACUACAGAGGGUGCAAGCGUUAAUCGGAUUUACUGGGCGUAAAGCGCGCGUAGGUGGCCAAUUAAGUCAAAUGUGAAAUCCCCGAGCUGAACUUGUGAAUUGCAUUCGAUACUGGUUGGCUAGAGUAUGGGAGAGGAUGGUAGAAUUCCAGGUGUAGCGGUGAAAUGCGUAGAGAUCUGGAGGAAUACCGAUGGCGAAGGCAGCCAUCUGGCCUAAUACUGACACUGAGGUGCGAAAGCAUGGGGAGCAAACAGGAUUAGAAACCCCUGUAGUCC
rnacentral:rRNA from 1 species